GCUGGGCAUGGUGGUGCAUGCCUGUAGUCCCAGCUACUCGAGAGGCUGAGGCAGGAGAAUUGCUUGAACCCAAGAGGCGGAGGUUGCAGUGAGCCGAGAUCAUGCCAUUGCACUCCAGUCUGGGUAACAACAGCGAAACUCCGUCUCAAAAAAAGACAGAGUCUCACUCUGUUGCCUAGGCUGGAGUGCAGUGGUAUGAUCUCAACUCACUGCAACCUCCACCUCCUGGGUUCAAGCAAUUCUCCCUGCCUCAG
rnacentral:sRNA from 1 species